rnacentral:lncRNA from 1 species
UGAAAUUGUGGAACACAUAUUAGAAUUCUCUAUAAAUACAAACAAGGAGAUAAUAUGGUUUUCACAUGUUUAUGGGUGUGGCUGUGGCUCUGCUAUUUUGCUGAAAGUCUGAGUACACAUAUUGUUGCCUGGUGUUAUGAUGAAACCCCACCUCUGCGUACCCCAAAACAUUUAUAGAAUAUGAAAACCAAUAUGGAAUGAAAUUUAUGCAGCGAAUUUAUGAAUGUGGUCAAAGAAUCUUUUUUCAGAUAUCACCUAGUGUUUUUUGUGCAUGAACAACUCCUUACUACAUCACAGUAAAGCUAUUUCUGCCUGCUGCAAUAGAAGUUCUUGUCCUAGUAUUAUAUUAGAUAAUUGAGAUAUAGCUAUAAAUAGUUGUCUAAUGUUGCUCUUGUUGGUUUUUUAGACAAUAAGUAGCUUGGAUGUAUAUGCAUGUUGAUUAUUGUAUUUGAUUAAAACUGGAUUUUAAAGAAUAAAUACAAGCUCCAAUUGCUUUAAUUUAAUUUCACUUUCAUUGGCAAGUCUCAUCUUUAGUUUAAAUUUGUUGGGCUUUACAGGUGGAAGUUGUGAAAUCCUUUAACGACCCAGAUGGACCACAGUGGAGACAUUCACUUUUUGGAAAUCCAAAUGAUCUAGAAACCUUCAGGUUAUUGUCAUUUUGAAUUAUGGCUAGGCAUCAGAGUAAUAAAAAGAUUUUUAUGGUCUUUCUACUUUUUGGAAUAGUUGGUCAACAACCAGGACACCGUGAUUGGAUGCUGAUGUAAUUAGGACACCAAUAAUAUAUUUUUAAUUAGGAAGCUAAUCAGAAUUACUGAAGGAUAUUAGUAGAAGCCCAAUCUUACUAGUUCAAGCCGUUGAGCAACCCAGUGGGCUAACAUAUGGCUCAAGCCCAUCGUGAAACAUGGAUCUUAUCUAACUCUACCCACUCGACUUCAUCUGAGCCGUUACCUUGUUUUUCUCAUAAGAUAUGAUGAGAAAAUACAGCUAGUUUAAAUAUCUCCAGAUCAUCACUGUAUAUUAAUUGAAGCUUUAUUUAGCAUUCUGUUGUAGAAAGUUCAACUCAAAAAAUAAUGCAUAAAGAGAAGAGGCCUUUAUAAUCUUUAUUAUGAUUUGGGUAAAAAUUCAAUAUAAUAUUUAGCAAUCCAGGGUUUGCUAACAGUUGUGGAACACCAGUUGUCAACAUUUAAUGCUGAAGUAUUUUUAUUAAAUUCUCCAUGCAUCUACAUGAGGAUGGUGUACCAUGCAUAGAAUGGAAUACUCUUACACUUCAGACUAUUUCACUUUGUGUGUUUUGAUACAUUGUUAGUGGAGCACACUUAAAAAAUUAAUGAAAAUGAGAAUGAGAAUUGACUGGCUUGUUGUGCUUGGUGCUUUUCAGGAGGAGGUGCGAGAUUGCAGAAACUCUUGUUGAGAGGAACUUUGAUUUGGCAUUUCAAGUGAUAUAUGAAUUUAAUCUUCCAGGUGGUGACAUAUUGGUUUCCUUUCUGUUAAGUUCUUAAAGUUUUAAGUUAAUGCAGCUGUGCUUUUAACAUUUGAAGUUUUCUCCACGCCUUGCAGCUGUUGAUAUAUAUGCUGGUGUGGCUUCAUCACUUGCUGAAAGAAAAAGGGGCAGCCAGUUGACUGAAUUUUUUAGAAACAUAAAAGGAACAAUUGAUGAUGAUGAUUGGGAUCAGGUAACGUACUUUCUUUUGAUAUGGUAUGGUCAAUAUAUUGGUACUUACUAGAGGGUAUGUGAUAGUUCGAGUGGUUCUUACCUAAAGAAAGUUUUUAAUGGAAUAUAGUAUUAGACAUUGUUAAGGUAUAUUUUGAUAGUUCGAGUGGUUCUUAACCAAAAGAAAUUUUUUAAUGGAAUAAAAUAUUAGACAUUGUUAAGUUAGAUGCAAUGAGCCGCAAAAAUAAAGAACUCAGUGCACAGACACGAAUGGCACCUAAUAUAAUUACAAAUCAAAGGCACAAAAGUGCAUUCAAUUGACUCUGAGGAAUAAAUUUUCUUUCUGUUACCAAUUAACGUGUACUUAUGCUCUAAAGUGAAACUUUAUAUAAAAAGGUUCCACUAGCAACUCCUGGUCUAAAAGAUCCUUAGACUACUAGCUUUGACUGAAUAUACUUUAUAUGGUCCAAAAUAGUAAACAAACUUGACAAGGUGUAAAAGCUGCUUUGAUUAUUAGUAUUCUUGAUUCAUUAAAAUAUAGAGGUGUUAUAAGCACGGUUGCCUGUUUAGCUUCUUCAUCUUAUUUCAGCUUAUUAGUCUAGCUGAGUCUAAAUGCCAUCUGAUCCAUGAAAUGAUACAAGUUAAAUCAAAUUGAGCUCAAUGAUGACUGUUUUAGGUAUAUUUGGUAGUUUUCUCAUUAAAAUGAAACCAGCAAUUAAGUGAGCAGAAUAUAGGCUUUUUACCCCCUAUUUAGAGCAAGAUUCUUUGUUUGAUGAAUAUGACUUAUACUGUACUUUUUGGAAUUAUAGGUCUUAGGGGCUGCUAUUAAUGUGUAUGCUAAUAGACACAAAGAACGCCCUGAUCGUCUCAUAGACAUGCUCACCAGCAGUCACAGGUAAUUCUUUUGCUUGUUUCAAUAUUUCAUAGUUAUUACUUUUGCGUUUGUUCCAAGGAACAAUAGGUCAUACAUGGUAGCUAUUCAUUUAGGUUAGGCAACUUUGUUGGAUCCUCAGACAGGUGAACCAGUCAGCUAGGUAGUAUUCCAACUAUAAAAAAUUAUAAAAUGUGAAUGCUUUAUGGACUUCUACCUGGCAAUCCAAUCUUUUACAACUGAGUUAGUCAAUGCUGUAUUUUUUAAAUAGACUCAUGGAUGCUAUGCAUCUCCAACUAUUCCUGUUUCAUUCCUCCUUGCCUUCAAAAGAAUCAAGCCUGUUUGGCUUAUUCAUUUAAGUGAAUAAGUUGAAAAGUGUGAGGGCAACUUGAUACUAAACUCCCUCCAAGUUAGAUCCUUGGACCAAGUGUAUCAUUUAGGGAAUCCUUUCAAAGUGCUGCUUAAAAAUGCCAUAAGUUUUCUUGUCCCGAGUUUAUCAGGAUAAAUUCUGACUUAGUUGAUAGAUGGUUAUUUGAAUACUUAGAGUAUGUUCCUCACUUCUACGCUGCUGUUAUAUCCAUAUUUCUUUCUUGCAGCAAUUACUGAGCAAUAGAAGACUUUGAACUGGGGUAUUUAAUGGGACAAGGAUUCAUCUUUAGUUACUUUUCAGAAGAAAUUUAGCAUAUAUAUAUUUUGCAUUUUUCACUGCCAGUUUUGAUGAAUAUGUUAUAUAUUUUGCAUUAAGUAGUCUUUGAUUACAUUAUUUAUGUUUAUAUCAGUUUCUAAAACACCAUAUGAUGCUUUUAAUUCCUUUUUGUGUGUGCUUCUGUUCUUAACUCCUCUGUGCAGGAAAGUGCUGGCAUGUGUGGUUUGUGGUCGCCUAAAAAGUGCCUUCCAGAUUGCUUCUCGAAGUGGAAGUGUGGCUGAUGUCCAAUAUGUUGCACACCAGGUUGUCCCUUAUUCUCAGCUGUUUUCUAGUGUCACAAUUUUAUGAGUUAUAGUUCUUUGACAUUCUUCUGCUGAUUUUCCAGUGGUAUCAUGUGCCCUUUUCUUGUGGGCAAAAGACAAAAAAACAAGUCUAGCUCAAUGAACCCGUUAAUCUAAUCACCUAGUAGACUCACUCACAUAUCACCGACUGGAAUGGGGUCUAUAGUUCUCCUACUGGGUAACUGAAGACAUGAAAAUGCUUCCUUGAGUCCUUGACUGGAGACCUUAGUUUACUCAUGACACCACUGAGUUAAUUGAGGUUUUAUCUUUGCCCUGCUUCGGGUUAAAGCAAGGCAUAAGACCUCAACAAGUUAAUGCAUAAUGUGCCUCUGUGACCUGGAUUUAAUGAAAUAUUCCUCUGUCAAUCCCCAAUGAUCCUGUUUAAAAUGUAGAAUGAAACCUUUUGUUAUUAACGGUAUUGAUGAUGAGAGAUGUUCUUUGAAUACUUUUCAGGCGUUACAUACAAAUGCCCUCCCCGUGCUAGAUAUGUGUAAACAAUGGCUGUCUCAGUACAUGUAACUUGUUGCUGAAUAAACGUUCUGCUACAAAACAUUGACAUGGUUGCUAACUUCACGACUACAAGAACUUGAAUUCACAAAUUCAUGGCAUCACUUAAAAGGCGAUGGUUACAGAAGUCACUUGAUGCAAGCAGCUGACUUAGAAACCAGCGGCACUGGCGACUACUACAGGCAAUUUAAAUUGGUUUUUGUUGUAUAUAUUAUAAAAAAAAAACUUGUAUAUUUCACUUGGAUUGCCAUCCAUAGCACUUGUAGAUGGAAACUUUUUUAUAGUUAUGAUUCAUUGUGAAGUUGGUAUCUUAACUUGAAACUUCAAUCAUAAGACUGAAGCGCAAGCAGCUAAUCGAAGGUUUAAAAAGCAGAUAGCUUGUUGAAUUCAAUUUUAUUUUAUUGGUAUAUAUUAUAUUGUAUCAAAUUCCAGUAAAAAGUGAAGCAAAUUAGCCUAAAAAAGAAGCAGCAAGUACAUGGACUGAGACAAAACUGAUAGCUUUUAUUCCUUUAUUUAAGGGUAAAAUGUUUUAAAUUUUUUUAAUUUUUAGUUAUAAUUUUACAUGAAUUUAUUAAUUUUUAAAAUAAAUAAUUUAUCUCAAAAGAAUAUCUUUUACGUUAAGCACAUAAGUUUAAUUAUUAAUUAAUUAUUAAUAUUUUUGUUAGAUUAAUGACGUGAAAAUAUGAAAAAAAUAAUUUUAUUAUUUAUUAAUUUAAAAAAUAAUCAUACUAUAUAAAUUAAAAUUUUUUAUUUUAAAAACCUCUCCCUUACCUCUUGCUGCAAUCAGAGUGUCAGAUCCAGCUUUGGCUUGAGAGUG